UACGAAGGGAGCUAGCGUUGUUCGGAAUCACUGGGCGUAAAGGGCGUGUAGGCGGGAAGGAAAGUCAGAUGUGAAAUCCCUGGGCUCAACCCAGGAACUGCAUUUGAAACUCCCUUUCUUGAGUACCGGAGAGGAAGGUGGAAUACCUGGUGUAGAAGUGAAAUUCGUAGAUAUCAGGUGGAACACCAGUGGCGAAGGCGGCCUUCUGGACGGUAACUGACGCUGAGACGCGAAAGCGUGGGGAGCAAACAGG
rnacentral:rRNA from 1 species